GAUGAACUCUGGCGGCGUGCCUAAUACAUGCAAGUCGAGCGAAUGGAUUAAGAGCUUGCUCUUAUGAAGUUAGCGGCGGACGGGUGAGUAACACGUAGGUAACCUGUCCAUAAGACUGGUAUAACUCUGUGAAACGGGCGUUAAUUCUGGAUAACAUUUUAAAUCGUACUCAUCGAAAUUGAAAGGCGGCUUCCGCUGUCACUUGCGGCGAGACCCGAUUCGGAUUAGGUGGUUGGUGAGGUAACGGCUCACCAAGGCAAAGAUGCGUAGCCGACCUGAGAGGGUGAUCGGCCACACUGGGACUGAGACACGGCCCAGACUCCUACGGGAGGCAGUAGUAGGGAAUCUUCCGCAAUGGACGAAAGUCUGACGGAGCAACGCCGCGUGAGUGAUGAAGGCUUUCGGGUCGUAAAACUCUGUUGUUAGGGAAGAAAAAGUGCUAGUUGAAUAAGCUGGCACCUUGACGGUACCUAACCAGAAAGCCACGGCUAACUACGUGCCAGCAGCCGCGGUAA
rnacentral:rRNA from 1 species